rnacentral:ncRNA from 1 species
GCACUCCGGAGAAAUCCAACCCGAAUGGAGGCCGAAGGGGCAAGGGAAGCGCCGGCGAAGGCGCGUCCGAAUCUCUCAGGCAAAAGGACGGAGGAC